AACGUAGGAGACAAACGUUAUCCGGAGUUACUGGGCGUAAAGGGCGUGCAGGUGGUCUGUUAAGUCUGGCGUGAAAGCUCUCGGCUAAACCGGGAGAGGUCGUUGGAUACUGGCGGACUAGAGGACGGUAGAGGUGUGUGGAAUUCCGGGUGUAGUGGUGAAAUGCGUAGAUAUCGGGAGGAACACCGGUGGCGAAGGCGGCCUUCUGGACGGAUACUGACGCUGAUACGCGAAAGCGUGGGGAGCAAACAGG
rnacentral:rRNA from 1 species